UUUCUGGUAGAAGUCUGAAGGUCUGACCGAAGAAAAAAAAUCCAGUACAGCCAAUGAAUUGAGGACAAGAAGGUUUCCGAUCAGCCUUUCUUUAAUUUUCGAGAUUGUUAAAAGAGGGCAAAGAAAGAGGAGAAGACCCCUGAGUCAGGGUUGAACAGCCCAGACAGCAAGAUGUCUGAAGAUGAAGACCAUCACAUGGUUGAGUAGAUCAGAUACGUGAAGGAAAUAAGUAAGUUUCCUGAGUUUCUGGGAAGGCCUGGUUUCCCCAAAGGAACAAUUUCUGGUAGAAGUCUGAAGGUCUGACCCAAGAAAAAAAAUCCAGUAUAGCCAAUGAAUUGAGGACAAGAAGGUUUCCAAUCAGGUAGGAACAUUUAAUCUCAUACAUUACUAUCACCUUAAGUAAGGUGUGCUGAUAGCUGGGUAUGAUUUAACUGCUUGGAAAAAGAUGC